GAUGAACGCUGGCGGCGUGCCUAAUACAUGCAAGUCGAGCGAACUUUUGGGAGCUUGCUCCCACAGGUUAGCGGCGGACGGGUGAGUAACACGUGGGUAACCUGCCUGUAAGACUGGGAUAACUUCGGGAAACCGGAGCUAAUACCGGAUAACAUUGAAGACAACAUGGCCUUCAAUUAAAAGGUGGCUUUUAGCUACCACUUACAGAUGGACCCGCGGCGCAUUAGCUAGUUGGUGAGGUAACGGCUCACCAAGGCGACGAUGCGUAGCCGACCUGAGAGGGGGGUCGGCCACAACGGGACCGGGACACCGCCCCGACUCCUUAGGGGGGCAGCCGUAGGGAAUCUUCCGACAUUGACGGAAGUCUGACGGGGCCACGCCGCGGGAGCGAAGAAGGCUCUCGGGUCGUAAAGCUCUUGUGUUAGGGAAGAACAAGUAUCGUUCGAAUAGGGCGGUACCUUGACGGUACCUAACCAGAAAGCCACGGCUAACUACGUG
rnacentral:rRNA from 1 species